rnacentral:rRNA from 1 species
GAUGAACGCUGGCGGCGUGCUUAACACAUGCAAGUCGAACGAAGCACUUUAUUUGAUUUCCUUCGGGACUGAUUAUUUUGUGACUGAGUGGCGGACGGGUGAGUAACGCGUGGGUAACCUGCCUUGUACAGGGGGAUAACAGUUGGAAACGGCUGCUAAUACCGCAUAAGCGCCCAGCAUCCCAUGAUGCAGUGUGAAAAACUCCGGUGGUAUACGAUGGACCCGCGUUGGAUUAGCUAGUUGGUGAGGUAACGGCCCACCAAGGCGACGAUCCAUAGCCGACCUGAGAGGGUGACCGGCCACAUUGGGACUGAGACACGGCCCAAACUCCUACGGGAGGCAGCAGUGGGGAAUAUUGCACAAUGGGCGAAAGCCUGAUGCAGCGACGCCGCGUGAGCGAAGAAGUAUUUCGGUAUGUAAAGCUCUAUCAGCAGGGAAGAUAAUGACGGUACCUGACUAAGAAGCACCGGCUAAAUACGUG